GGGGCUACUUCAUGCCUUGGAUCGAAUAACGACCCCAGACUAGCUAGCUGGACAGUGCUGAAGUGGAUUGAUAUAGGAUAUAGGAAUGGAGUGUCUGCGCUAUCAUCCUGGGUUUGGUAGUGAGAUCUCCUCUGAGGCGCUACCUGGAGCCCUGCCUGUAGGACAGAACAAUCCUCAGAAUUGUCCUUACGGUCUGUAUUGUGAGCAGUUGUCUGGGACUGCGUUUACAGCUCCUCGUGAGAGCAACAGGAGGAGCUGGCUGUAUCGCAUUCGUCCCUCAGUAGUCCAUCAACCCUUCCAACGCAUGAGCAAAGGAGACCUCACUAACACUUUUGAUUGGCCCCCUAACCCCAAUCAGAUGCGCUGGAAGCCAUUCACCAUGCCUGACAAACCAACAGACUUCGUAGAGGGCCUGCAUACAGUGUGUGGAGCUGGAGACCCAAAGCUCAGAAAUGGAAUUGCUAUUCAUGUGUACACUUGCAACCAGUCCAUGGACAAUAAGUGUAUGUACAAUGCUGAUGGUGACUUCUUGAUUGUUCCUCAACAAGGUGCUCUGAGUGUCAUCACUGAAUUUGGGUGUUUGGAAGUGACGUCUAAUGAGAUCCUAGUAAUACAGCAAGGUCAGCGCUUUUCAGUGGCAGUGAGUGGACCUUCACGAGGAUACAUCCUAGAGGUAUUUGGAGCACACUUCCAACUACCUCAACUAGGCCCUAUUGGUGCGAACGGUCUUGCGAACCCUCGAGACUUUUUGUGUCCAGUCGCUUGGUACGAAGACAAAGAGAAGCCAUACAUCGUUGUGUCAAAGUUCCAGGGAGAGCUAUUCUCAGCUGAGCAGGACCACUCUCCAUUUGAUGUGGUUGGUUGGCACGGUAACUACUACCCGUAUAAGUACGAUCUGAGCAGGUUCAUGGCAGUCAAUGCUGUUUCAUUCGAUCAUUGUGACCCCUCCAUAUUCACUGUACUCACUGCUCCUAGCUCUACUCCUGGAGUGGCUUUGGCUGACUUUGUCAUCUUCCCUCCUAGAUGGUGUGUACAAGAGCACACUUUCAGACCUCCUUGGUACCACAGGAACUGCAUGAGUGAGUUUAUGGGGCUCAUCCAUGGUCGGUAUGAGGCUAAACAGGAAGGCUUUAUGCCAGGAGGAGCCACUCUACACAGUAUGAUGACUCCGCAUGGCCCUGAUGCUGAUGCAUUCUCUAAAGCCUCUUCUGCUGCUCCAUUGUCUCCAGUCAAACUGGAGGGCACACAAGUGAGAGUGACGUCCUUACAACACUUGCUAAUGGGCCCAAAUCUUAAAAUGUUGAUGGAAAAGCAUGACCUACAUACAUUGUACCGCGUUCAUGUUUGAGAGCAUGUUCAGCAUGUGUGUGACAGAGUGGGGAGAGAAGAGCUGCCUCACAUUGGACCCCUCUUAUUACAAGUGCUGGCAAGGACUACACAAACACUUUGACCCUACGAACCCUCCUGCACAGAAGAGUUUCACUUCACCAACUGUGACUGAUCAAUAAUGCCGUUCUAGUGCUAGUGUAUAUAUAGAUGGACACAGUACUAGUGUAGAUCCAGUGAACUGUAGCUAUUGUUAUUAUUGUAUUGUAUCUGAUGGUUUAUUAAAAUUAUUAUUUUACAGUGGA